GACGAACGCUGGCGGCGUGCUUAACACAUGCAAGUCGAACGGAAAGACCCUGAUUUUGUGGGGUGCUCGAUUGGCGAACGGGUGAGUAACACGUAAGUAACCUUCCCUUGACUUUGGUAUAACUUCAGGAAACUGAGGCUAAUACCAGAUAGGAUCUCCUGCUGCAUGGUGGGGGUUGGAAAUUUUCGGCGGUUGUGGAUGGACUGGCGGCUUAUUGGCUGGUUGGUGGGGUAAAGUCCUACCAAGGCGUGGACCGGUAGCCGGCCUGAGAGGAUGAUCGGCCACCCGGGAACGUGAACACGGUCCAGGCGCCUACGGGAGGCAGCAGUGGGGAAUAGUGGGCAAUAGGGGCAAACCUUGUCCAGCCGUACCGCGUGUGUGAAAGAGGCCUUCGGGUUGUAAAGCCCUUUUGUUGGGAAAGAAAAGCAGCAGGUUAAUACCCCGCUGUUCUGACGGUACCCAAAGAAUAAGCACCGGCUAACUUCGUG
rnacentral:rRNA from 1 species